ACGGGUAAGUGGAGAAACAAACCUUUGUCAGCUCUAAUUCCUUGGAGAAUACAAAGUAUUCAAUUAGAACCUGAGAAAAUAUACGAAAUGACUUUGCUCUAUUUACAAAUUUAAAGAGACUAAUUCAAUGCCAAAACUUCAGCAAACAACUACCUACUGCCUUUACCAGUUCACCUGCUAAUUGGUUGGCCCAGUAAACCAGACACCUAUCCUACCUGCGCAAUAACAGGCCACAAGCCCUUUCCAUUACCUAAAUAUCAGUCUUCCACAUUGUGUUAUCACGAGACCUAUCCAAUGCAGCGACUUUGGCACGAUAUGCUGCAGCAGCUGCAGCAGGUUUUACCCUCUGACUCUGAGGAAGCUCGCAGGUUUCACUAAUAGAAGCAAAUCUUAGUUCA
rnacentral:misc_RNA from 1 species